GUUCCUUUAGUUAAAUGGAUAUAACAGGCCCCUCCUAAGGGUCAGUUGAGGGUUCGAUUCCCCCAAGGAACG
rnacentral:tRNA from 1 species